rnacentral:rRNA from 1 species
UGAUGGCGAGUGGCGAACGGGUGAGUAAUAUAUCGGAACGUGCCCUAGAGUGGGGGAUAACUAGUCGAAAGACUAGCUAAUACCGCAUACGAUCUACGGAUGAAAGUGGGGGAUCGCAAGACCUCAUGCUCCUGGAGCGGCCGAUAUCUGAUUAGCUAGUUGGUGGGGUAAAAGCCUACCAAGGCAACGAUCAGUAGCUGGUCUGAGAGGACGACCAGCCACACUGGGACUGAGACACGGCCCAGACUCC